GGAUCGCAGGCUGCAACCCGCCUGCGUGAAGUUGGAAUCGCUAGUAAUCGCGGAUCAGCAUGCCGCGGUGAAUACGUUCCCGGGCCUUGUACACACCGCCCGUCACACCAUGGGAGUCAGCAACGCCCGAAGCCGGUGACCCAACCGAAAGGAGGGAGCCGUCGAAGGUGGGGCCGAUAACUGGGGUGAAGUCGUAACAAGGUAAC
rnacentral:rRNA from 1 species